rnacentral:snoRNA from 1 species
AAGACUAUACUUUCAGGGAUAAUUUCUGUAAUUCAUUACUAAAGAAUAGGGACCUUCCAGUGGAGGGGAUGGGAUAUGGAAGUCUGGUGGU